rnacentral:ncRNA from 1 species
ACUCAGGGCGGGGUGCAAGUCCCCACCGGUGGUUAAAGUCCACGAGCGGGCGGCAGUUUUUCUUAAUUGCCGCUGUCAGCAGAGCCGGUGUGAUUCCGGUACCGACGGUAACAGUCCGGAAGAAAGAGUG